UGAGCCGUAUGAUGGGAAACUAUCACGUACGGUUCUUAGAGGAGUGAGCUGUGGCAACACAGCUUGCUUACUC
rnacentral:ncRNA from 1 species